rnacentral:rRNA from 1 species
UACGUAGGGGGCAAGCGUUGUCCGGAAUUAUUGGGCGUAAAGAGCGCGUAGGCGGUCCGAUAAGUCGGCUGUGAAAGUCAAGGGCUCAACCCUUGAAAGCCGGCCGAUACUGUCGGACUAGAGUCCGGAAGAGGCGAGUGGAAUUCCUGGUGUAGCGGUGAAAUGCGCAGAUAUCAGGAAGAACACCAAUGGCGAAAGCAGCUCUCUGGGACGGUACUGACGCUGAGACGCGAAAGCGUGGGGAGCGAACAGG